ACCGUCUGGACCCUGGGCAUCCUGCUGCAUGAGAUGGUCUGCGGGAAGCACCCUUUCAGGAGGGGCUGGAACAUCAGCUGGGCCCAGCUCCCGCUGCCACAACGGCUCUCCCAAGAUUGCCAAGUUCUGAUCAGGCGGUGUUUAUCCCUGCACUACUUGGACAGGCCCUCAUUAGAAGACCUGUUCUGUGAUCCCUGGAUGCAGGAUAUUCAUCAGCCAUAGAAGAAGGGAGAGAGCCACGGGCACAGUGAUGCAGGGACCUGUGACAGCCGGGCCCUGGGCAGAACCCUGACAGCCUGGUGUCACCCCAGGGAAGAAGGAGCCCCUGGAGAAGCUGCACCAGGUGGGGCUGCUGCUGCUGCUGCUGCUGGGGACAUGGAGGACAACAGCAAGGAUGACAACCUCUUCCUCCACCUGGCCAGCGGCAGCUGGCGAUGAUGGACUUUGAUUCUGGCACCUUCUUGAAAGCCAGGCUCCACAGAGAAUUUUCAGGAAGAAUUCUAGGUGGGGUCCAGUCUGGAUCAGGAAGUGCUUGGGACCAGCCGUGGUGUGGAUGGGCCGUGCCCUUGGAGAAGGCUGAGGACAUCGUUUGGGACCAGCUUUUCUUCUGGCAGCAGAUGGUGUGAGGUGGGUCCUCAUCUCCUUGGCAUGGGUGGGACAAGAGCUUUUGGGAGAUGGCAGCGGGCACAGGAGCAUCCCGCUCUGGGCAGCUGCUGAGGGGCUGGAUCUGCCGUGGCUGGCUGCAGGC
rnacentral:lncRNA from 1 species